rnacentral:tRNA from 1 species
GGAUGAGUGGCUGAGUGGUUGAAAGCAGCAAGUUAACAACUUGUAGGGCGUCCGCGCGUCCCGUGGGUUCGAAUCCCAUCUCAUCCACCA